GACGAACGCUGGCGGCGUGCCUAAUACAUGCAAGUAGAACGCACAGUUUAUACCGUAGCUUGCUACACCAUAGACUGUGAGUUGCGAACGGGUGAGUAACGCGUAGGUAACCUGCCUGGUAGCGGGGGAUAACUUUUGGAAACGAUAGCUAAUACCGCAUAAUAUUAAUUAUUGCAUGAUAAUUAAUUGAAAGGUGCAAUUGCACCACUACCAGAUGGACCUGCGUUGUAUUAGCUAGUAGGUGAGGUAACGGCUCACCUAGGCGACGAUACAUAGCCGACCUGAGAGGGUGAUCGGCCACACUGGGACUGAGACACGGCCCAGACUCCUACGGGAGGCAGCAGUAGGGAAUCUUCGGCAAUGGACGAAAGUCUGACCGAGCAACGCCGCGUGAGUGAAGAAGGUUUUCGGAUCGUAAAGCUCUGUUGUAAGAGAAGAACGGGUGUGAGAGUGGAAAGUUCACACUGUGACGGUAUCUUACCAGAAAGGGACGGCUAACUACGUG
rnacentral:rRNA from 1 species